rnacentral:lncRNA from 1 species
GACUGGGGGAGGGGGGGGCCGGGGGGGGGUGGGGUGGGGGAGGCUGCGGCUCCAGGCCUGGGAGGGCGGGGGAGGCGAGCUCCACUGUUUGGGGAAGUCACCCAGCUGCCAUCGGCUCUUGGAGGGCAUCGCCAGCCCUGGGGACACAGAGGAUGCCCCCUGCCCCCGCCAGACCUGCUCCAAGGAACCAACCGGGGGCGCCCAGCCCUCCCCGCCAGGCAGGCCCCGCUGCCGCGCAGCACCCAGCAUCACCCCCGGGCCGAUUUCGAGAGCGUCGUGGCCGUGUUACUCCCACCGUCCGGCCCUGCGAGGUCCCCAGCAUCGUUCUCAGAAGGGGCCCUGUCCACCCACCCCCAUCCCACGCCAGGGGCCUUCCUCAAUUUGCUUCCCUUUUCAGUUUCCCACUGCUCGCGCUGGAGCAGAGAUGCCUCUAGAAAGUGUUGGCUGCAGACUUCCUUCUGUCUGAGGACAGUGCUGGGGGGUGGGGUGGGGGGUUCCGGGUCGCCUCCCAGCCCGACCCCUCGCCCGAGGAGCAGUGAGGCCAGAGCCUGCACUAUUCGGGCCCUCGGGGCCCGGAGCAGGAGCAGCAUCGGAGUCCCGGCGCCUCUGGACCUGCGCACCCAGCCCGCCUGCAGGACGCCGGUGAGAGAGGGGGGUGGGCAGCCCUCCCUGGAGGGGGCCAAGGUGAAGCGUCCCCCACAGCCCCGCUCACGGGACAUCUGGCUGCAGGGGGAAGGUGCCCGUGCACCGGGCCUGCCAGGCAGGAAGGGUGGACGCUACGGCCUCCUGCAGCAGCUCCAUCCGUGCUGUGCUGGGUGGGCUGCGGGACGAGCCCCCUCCCGUCACCACCGUGGGCGCCCUGCCUCCAGCCACCGGGGAGAGCAGGGGCGAGGCCGCGGCGGGCAGGUGGGCUUCUCCUCCUCGGUCUCCCAGAGCUGCUCGUGGGCCCUCCUUUUGUGCCCCCUGCUCCUGCGCACCCGAGGGCAGGGGUCUCAGCGGGGGCUGCCUGGCACGGUGGCAUCUCAGCCCACUCUGCCCAUGAGGCCGGCCCGGGAACCAGCCGCCACGCGAGGUGUGCAGGGUGCCCAGGUGGUGGCGGGCACGAGGCGGGGCCUCAGCCGGGAGUCCUGGGGGGUCGGGCUGGGCGAGCCUCCUGGGAGAGCGGCGCACACCUCGCGGGGCCGGGUGUCCAGCUCGGCCUCUGGGCGCUCUGAUCACCAAGUCUGA